GGAGUGUAAAUUGCUUGUGCUGUUUAUAAUGCUAAGUUUACUAGUUUUCAGAGUGUAGACCAGGCCUAACUAUUUUUGUUGAGUUGUUUCAGAUCUAAG